rnacentral:rRNA from 3 species
AUAAGUAAUGUGAAUUGCAGAAUUCAGUGAAUCAUCGAAUCUUUGAACGCACCUUGCGCUCCUUGGUAUUCCGAGGAGCAUGCCUGUUUGAGUGUCAU